AUUUGGCGGACGGGUGAGUAACGCGUGGGAACAUACCUUUUGGUUCGGAACAACACAGGGAAACUUGUGCUAAUACCGGAUAAGCCCUUACGGGGAAAGAUUUAUCGCCGAAAGAUUGGCCCGCGUCUGAUUAGCUAGUUGGUGAGGUAACGGCUCACCAAGGCGACGAUCAGUAGCUGGUCUGAGAGGAUGAUCAGCCACAUUGGGACUGAGACACGGCCCAAACUCCUACGGGAGGCAGCAGUGGGGAAUAUUGGACAAUGGGCGCAAGCCUGAUCCAGCCAUGCCGCGUGAGUGAUGAAGGCCCUAGGGUUGUAAAGCUCUUUUGUGCGGGAAGAUAAUGACGGUACCGCAAGAAUAAGCCCCGGCUAACUUCGUGCCAGCAGCCGCGGUAAUAAU
rnacentral:rRNA from 1 species